AGCGAACGCUGGCGGCAGGCUUAACACAUGCAAGUCGAGCGGGCACUUUCGGGUGUCAGCGGCGGACGGGUGAGUAACGCGUGGGAACGUGCCCUCUGGUUCGGAAUAACUCAGGGAAACUUGAGCUAAUACCGGAUACGCCCUUUUGGGGAGAGGCUUGCUGCCGGAGGAUCGGCCCGCGUCUGAUUAGCUAGUUGGUGAGGUAACGGCUCACCAAGGCGACGAUCAGUAGCUGGUCUGAGAGGAUGAUCAGCCACACUGGGACUGAGACACGGCCCAGACUCCUACGGGAGGCAGCAGUGGGGAAUAUUGGACAAUGGGCGCAAGCCUGAUCCAGCCAUGCCGCGUGAGUGAUGAAGGCCUUAGGGUUGUAAAGCUCUUUUAUCCGGGACGAUAAUGACGGUACCGGAGGAAUAAGCCCCGGCUAACUUCGUG
rnacentral:rRNA from 1 species